GACGAACGCUGGCGGCACGCUUAACACAUGCAAGUCGAACGAGAGAAGAGAAGCUUGCUUUUCUGAUCUAGUGGCGGACGGGUGAGUAACACGUGAGCAAUCUGCCUUUCAGAGGGGGAUACCGAUUGGAAACGAUCGUUAAUACCGCAUAACAUAAUUGAACCUCAUGAUUUGAUUAUCAAAGAUUUAUCGCUGAAAGAUGAGCUCGCGUCUGAUUAGCUAGUUGGUAAGGUAACGGCUUACCAAGGCGACGAUCAGUAGCCGGACUGAGAGGUUGAUCGGCCACAUUGGGACUGAGACACGGCCCAGACUCCUACGGGAGGCAGCAGUGGGGAAUAUUGCACAAUGGAGGAAACUCUGAUGCAGCGAUGCCGCGUGAGGGAAGAAGGUUUUAGGAUUGUAAACCUCUGUCUUCAGGGACGAAAAAAGACGGUACCUGAGGAGGAAGCUCCGGCUAACUACGUG
rnacentral:rRNA from 1 species